CUUAUACAUGGUUGUUGAAGACUUGGCUUGAGUCAUUGCUUGGACGUGCUCCUUCUACAAUUAUCAAAGAUGAUGACAAGGCUAUGGGUAAGGCAAUUGCAGAGAUAUUACCGAAUACAAUUCAUAGAUUAUGUAUGUGGAAUAUUUUAUAGAAAGUUCCAAAAAAAUUGGCUCAUAUCUAUAAUAAAUACCCACUUUUUCAAGGAGAAUUUCACCAUUGCAUUCAUGAUACAAUCACUAUUAAAGAGUUUGAGUUAGAAUGGAGUGAGCUUGUAGAGAAGUAUGGGUUGGGGGAUAAUGAUUGGAUGAUAAAUCAUUAUAUGCGACGUGAAAAAUGGAUUCCAGCUUAUUUACGUAGGAGCUUUUGUGCUGGGAUGUCUACAACUCAAAGGAGUGAAAGCAUGAAUAAAUUCUUUAAAGGUUAUGUUCAUUCAAGUACAAUGAUAAGUGAUUUUGUGCAUCAAUAUGAGAAAGCCUUAAAUGCACGUUAUCUGAAAGAGAAACAACAAGAUGUAAAGAAAAAAACUUCAAUGCCAAUUUUGAAAACAUGUUACAAGAUGGAAGGAGAGGCGGCAAAAGUUUAUACAAGAAAGAUAUUUAUAAAAUUUAAAAGAAGAGUUAUUUUGUAGUAAAAAAUACAAGGCAUCCAAAUAUCAUAAAGAAAGAGUGAAGAAAAUAUAUAAAGUGGCACCUCAUGGGAAAGAAAGUCCAAUUUAUGAAGUGUUAUUUGAAAUUUCUGAGGAAAAAAAAAAAUGCUAUUUGUACAUGCCAUAUAUUUGAAUUUAUUGGAAUUCUUUGUAGGCACAUCCUUACUGUUUUUGUGAAAAAAAAUCUCUUGUGGACUUUCUUCCCCUAUAUUAUAUUUUAGAAAGAUGGACAAUCAAGGCCAAGAAUAAUAUUAUACAUGACAUAUCUGGUGAUGUCAUAUAGGUGGAGCCACAAAUUUCUUCCACUUUGAUGAGAAAUAGUUUACUGUUUCAUUUUUUUGAAAGUUGCAGAGGUAGGGUCACAGUCAAUGAAGAAAUAUAAACAUCUUGACCUAGCUCUACAGAAGGUUCAUGUGGAGCUUCUAGCCAUGCGUGAUGUUGAUGAUUUAGUAAGUUCUGAUAAUACUAUACUAAACAACCAAGUAUUAUCAAAUCUUCCAAGUGCUUUACAAGACCCUUCGUAUGUUCUAUCUAAGGGAAGACCUAAAUCAUUAAGACAAAAGAAUCCAAAAGAAAACCAACCAACAAAGAAAAGAAAAUGUAGCAUUUGCAAGGCCAUGUGAGAAGAACUUGUCCAUCCAUAAGUUCUAUAUAGGACUCUUUGUCAUCUAUGCGGUAUCCUCCUACAACAUCAACUUCUAUGCCUCAAGAUGAGAUAAGAAAGACUGACGAGACCAUUCCCUAGAGAAGAGCAUAACCAGUGCCUAUGUCAUUGAUGAAGACAGCUAGAUCAUUCAAUGCCACCAAUAAUGCCUCGGACGGUUACAAAACCAACUGUACAGACCGUUGAAGGCACAUUAAAACUCCAUUACAAGGCAGGAGGCGUUACCAAAGGAAGACAUUAACAUCACAAUCCCAAUCACAACGGCUAGAAUCCAACGCAACGUAUAUAAAGCCCCCCACACUGCCAACAAAAGGCGUUGUGGUAGGCACCACACCGGUGACCACCCUUAUAGAAGAAGUUCCCUCGUUUAUACAGAUAUCCAAGCAAGAAUUUGGACCCGUCUGGGUACGUACCAUUCGACUGACGAAGUCACGCUUCAUCAAAAACUUUCAGAAAAAAUGUGACAGGUUUUAUAUUACAUGGAAGAUAUGUAUUAAAAGCUUUUGGAGAUGUAUUCAAAAUUCCAAAGUUACAUUGUAUUCAAUUGUGACAGGGUUUUAUAUUUACACCUUCCUGAAA